AACGACUCUCGGCAACGGAUAUCUCGGCUCUCGCAUCGAUGAAGAACGUAGCGAAAUGCGAUACUUGGUGUGAAUUGCAGAAUCCCGUGAACCAUCGAGUUUUUGAACGCAAGUUGCGCCCGAAGUUUUGGCUGAGGGCACGUCUGCCUGGGCG
rnacentral:rRNA from 1 species